UUGUAAUUGGAAUGAUGGGAAUUUAAACCUCUUCCAGAGUAUCAAUUGGAGGGCAAGUCUGGUGCCAGCAGCCGCGGUAAUUCCAGCUCCAAUAGCGUAUAUUAAAAUUGUUGCAGUUAAAAAGCUCGUAGUUGAAUUUCUGCUGCAUUGCUUUUGCUCCUUUACGAGUCUUUGCAUUGUGGCUUAUUUCGGACUUUGUUUUACAAUGUCCGGAUGUUUACUUUGAGAAAAUUAGAGUGCUCAAAGCAGGCUUUCGCCUUGAAUAGUUUAGCAUGGAAUAAUAAAGUAGGACUUUGGUUCUAUUUUGUUGGUUUUAGGUACCAAAGUAAUGGUUAAUAGGAACAGUUGGGGGCAUUCGUAUUUAACUGUCAGAGGUGAAAUUCUUAGAUUUGUUAAAGACGAACUACUGCGAAAGCAUUUGCCAAGGAUGUUUUCAUUAAUCAAGAACGAAAGUUAGGGGAUCGAAGACGAUCAGAUACCGUCGUAGUCCUAACCAUAAACUA
rnacentral:rRNA from 1 species